rnacentral:tRNA from 1 species
UGAGGCGAAGCUCAGUGGUAGAGCACUCGUCUCACAUGUGUGACGUCCUGGGUUCGAUCCUCAGCACCACAU